rfam:Gossypium raimondii Chr07_contig_37, whole genome shotgun sequence.
UAUUAAAAAUUUUAUUUGUUUCUAUUGUUAAAAACUUAGCUAACUGAAUAAUCAGAUAGUUAUACGUGGUAUGCCAGAUGUACCUAAUACUAAUGUAUAUGAACCAGUUUUUAAUGGUAGAAACGGAUAGAAUUUUUAACA